CCUACGGGAGGCAACAGUGGGGAAUAUUGGACAAUGGGCGCAAGCCUGAUCCAACCAUGCCGCGGGGGUGAUGAAGGCCCUAGGGUUGUAAAGCUCUUUCGGCGGGGAAGAUAAUGACGGUACCCGCAAAACAAGCCCCGGCUGCUUCGUGCCGCAUCCGCGGUAAUACGAAGGGGGCUAGCGUUGUUCGGAAUCACUGGGCGCAAAGCGCGCGUAGGCGGGUCGUUAAGUCGGGGGUGAAAUCCCGAGGCUCAACCUCGGAACUGCCUUCGAUACUGGCGAUCUUGAGUCCGGAAGACGUGAGUGGAACUCCUAGUGUAAAGGUGAAAUUCGUAUAUAUUAGGAAUAACACCAUUGGCGAAGGUGGCUCACUGCCCCAGAACUGACUCUGAGGCGCGAAAGCGUGGGGAGCAAACAGGAUCACAUACCCUGGUAGUCCACGCCGCAAAUUAUGAAUGCCAUCCGUUGGGCAGCUUGCCGCUCAGUGGCGCAGCUAACGCUUUACCCAUUCCGCCUGGGGAGUACCGCCGCAAGAUUACCCUUUAGGAAUUGACCGGGGCCCGCACAGGCGGUGGAGCAUGUGGUUAAUUCGAAGCAACUUAAACAACCUUACCCCCCUUUGACAUGUCCCGUAUGGAUCCUGGAGACAGGGUUCUUCAGAUCGGCUGGCGGGAACACACGUGCUGCAUGGCUGUCCUCACUCCUGUCGCGAGAUGCUCGGGUCAGUCCCGUAACUAGCGAACCCUCGCCUCAAUUUGCCAUCAUUGGGUUGGGCACUCUAGGGGGACUGCCGGUGAAUAUCUGCCAGGAAGGUGGUUAUAAACCCAGUUCCCCUGGCCCUCACGGGCUGGGCUA
rnacentral:rRNA from 1 species